rnacentral:rRNA from 1 species
AGGACGAACGCUGGCGGCGUGCCUAACACAUGCAAGUCGAGCGAGGAGAUCCUUCGGGAUGAUCCUAGCGGCGGACGGGUGAGUAACACGUGGGCAACCUGCCUCAUAGAGAGGAAUAGCCUUCCGAAAGGGAGAUUAAUACCUCAUAACAUUGCAGUUUCGCAUGGAACAGCAAUUAAAGGAGCAAUCCGCUAUGAGAUGGGCCCGCGGCGCAUUAGCUAGUUGGUGAGGUAACGGCUCACCAAGGCGACGAUGCGUAGCCGACCUGAGAGGGUGAUCGGCCACAUUGGGACUGAGACACGGCCCAGACUCCUACGGGAGGCAGCAGUGGGGAAUAUUGCACAAUGGGGGAAACCCUGAUGCAGCAACGCCGCGUGAGUGAUGACGGCCUUCGGGUUGUAAAGCUCUGUCUUCAGGGACGAUAAUGACGGUACCUGAGGAGGAAGCCACGGCUAACUACGUGCCAGCCGCCGC